UACGUAGGGUGCGAGCGUUGUCCGGAAUUACUGGGCGUAAAGCGUGCGCAGGCGGUUCGUUGUGUCUGAUGUGAAAGCCCCGGGCUCAACCUGGGAAUGGCAUUGGAAACUGGCGAGCUAGAGUGUGGCAGAGGGGGGUGGAAUUCCGCGUGUAGCAGUGAAAUGCGUAGAGAUGCGGAGGAACACCGAUGGCGAAGGCAGCCCCCUGGGCUGACACUGACGCUCAGGCACGAAAGCGUGGGGAGCAAACGGG
rnacentral:rRNA from 1 species